rnacentral:rRNA from 1 species
UACGGGGGGUGCGAGCGUUGUCCGGAAUCACUGGGCGUAAAGAGCGCGUAGGUGGUUUGAUAAGGGUGUGGUGAAAGCCCGGGGCUCAACCCCGGGUCUGCCGUGCCGACUGUCAAACUCGAGGGCUGUAGAGGCAGACGGAAUUCCGGGUGUAGCGGUGGAAUGCGUAGAGAUCCGGAGGAAGACCGGUGGCGAAGGCGGUCUGCUGGGCAGUUUCUGACACUGGAUGCGCGACAGCGUGGGGAGCAAACAGG